AAAUUGAAGAGUUUGAUCAUGGCUCAGAUUGAACGCUGGCGGCAGGCCUAACACAUGCAAGUCGAGCGGUAGCACAGAGAGCUUGCUCUCGGGUGACGAGCGGCGGACGGGUGAGUAAUGUCUGGGAAACUGCCUGAUGGAGGGGGAUAACUACUGGAAACGGUAGCUAAUACCGCAUAACGUCGCAAGACCAAAGUGGGGGACCUUCGGGCCUCAUGCCAUCAGAUGUGCCCAGAUGGGAUUAGCUAGUAGGUGGGGUAACGGCUCACCUAGGCGACGAUCCCUAGCUGGUCUGAGAGGAUGACCAGCCACACUGGAACUGAGACACGGUCCAGACUCCUACGGGAGGCAGCAGUGGGGAAUAUUGCACAAUGGGCGCAAGCCUGAUGCAGCCAUGCCGCGUGUAUGAAGAAGGCCUUCGGGUUGUAAAGUACUUUCAGCGGGGAGGAAGGCGAUAAGGUUAAUAACCUUGUCGAUUGACGUUACCCGCAGAAGAAGCACCGGCUAACUCCGUGCCAGCAGCCGCGGUAAUACGGAGGGUGCAAGCGUUAAUCGGAAUUACUGGGCGUAAAGCGCACGCAGGCGGUCUGUCAAGUCGGAUGUGAAAUCCCCGGGCUCAACCUGGGAACUGCAUUCGAAACUGGCAGGCUAGAGUCUUGUAGAGGGGGGUAGAAUUCCAGGUGUAGCGGUGAAAUGCGUAGAGAUCUGGAGGAAUACCGGUGGCGAAGGCGGCCCCCUGGACAAAGACUGACGCUCAGGUGCGAAAGCGUGGGGAGCAAACAGGAUUAGAUACCCUGGUAGUCCACGCCGUAAACGAUGUCGAUUUGGAGGUUGUGCCCUUGAGGCGUGGCUUCCGGAGCUAACGCGUUAAAUCGACCGCCUGGGGAGUACGGCCGCAAGGUUAAAACUCAAAUGAAUUGACGGGGGCCCGCACAAGCGGUGGAGCAUGUGGUUUAAUUCGAUGCAACGCGAAGAACCUUACCUGGUCUUGACAUCCACAGAACUUAGCAGAGAUGCUUUGGUGCCUUCGGGAACUGUGAGACAGGUGCUGCAUGGCUGUCGUCAGCUCGUGUUGUGAAAUGUUGGGUUAAGUCCCGCAACGAGCGCAACCCUUAUCCUUUGUUGCCAGCGGUCCGGCCGGGAACUCAAAGGAGACUGCCAGUGAUAAACUGGAGGAAGGUGGGGAUGACGUCAAGUCAUCAUGGCCCUUACGACCAGGGCUACACACGUGCUACAAUGGCGCAUACAAAGAGAAGCGACCUCGCGAGAGCAAGCGGACCUCAUAAAGUGCGUCGUAGUCCGGAUUGGAGUCUGCAACUCGACUCCAUGAAGUCGGAAUCGCUAGUAAUCGUAGAUCAGAAUGCUACGGUGAAUACGUUCCCGGGCCUUGUACACACCGCCCGUCACACCAUGGGAGUGGGUUGCAAAAGAAGUAGGUAGCUUAACCUUCGGGAGGGCGCUUACCACUUUGUGAUUCAUGACUGGGGUGAAGUCGUAACAAGGUAACCGUAGGGGAACCUGCGGUUGGAUCACCUCCUUA
rnacentral:rRNA from 1 species